rnacentral:rRNA from 1 species
AUGAACGCUGGCGGCGUGCCUAAUACAUGCAAGUCGAGCGAACGGACGAGAAGCUUGCUUCUCUGAUGUUAGCGGCGGACGGGUGAGUAACACGUGGAUAACCUACCUAUAAGACUGGGAUAACUUCGGGAAACCGGAGCUAAUACCGGAUAAUAUUUUGAACCGCAUGGUUCAAAAGUGAAAGACGGUCUUGCUGUCACUUAUAGAUGGAUCCGCGCUGCAUUAGCUAGUUGGUAAGGUAGCGGCUUACCAAGGCAACGAUGCAUAGCCGACCUGAGAGGGUGAUCGGCCACACUGGAACUGAGACACGGUCCAGACUCCUACGGGAGGCAGCAGUAGGGAAUCUUCCGCAAUGGGCGAAAGCCUGACGGAGCAACGCCGCGUGAGUGAUGAAGGCCUUCGGAUCGUAAAACUCUGUUAUUAGGGAAGAACAUAUGUGUAAGUAACUGUGCACAUCUUGACGGUACCUAAUCAGAAAGCCACGGCUAACUACGUG